GAGAGAAGAGCCAGUCAAGCUAGCCAAGGAGACAUGCUAUGAACCACAUAAGGGUUCCUUGAUCACUUGUGAUCAUGAUCCCAGGCAGCUGAAUCCCUUGGGAGGACAUAGGCAAGUCAUCCUUGGCUACUAAACAAGACUCUUAUCU
rnacentral:pre_miRNA from 1 species